rnacentral:pre_miRNA from 1 species
AAAUAGGCAAACCCUGGGUUUUCGUGUCCAACUUUGACUAUCCGUCUUAUAUGAAAUUUUUUUAUAAUUCGUAUUUUCAUUGCUGUUAGAUGAUAAAACAUGAUUAAUAUUUUAUGCGUGACUUGUCUUUUUAUUUUUUUUUCUAAUUUUUUCAAAUAAGACGGACGGUCAAACAUUAGACACGGAAACC